rnacentral:rRNA from 1 species
ACCCGCUGAACUUAAGCAUAUCAAUAAGCGGAGGAAAAGAAGACCAACAGGGAUUGCCUUCAGUAACGGCGAAGUGAAGCGGCAACAGCUCAAAUUUGAAAUCUGCGCUCCUUAGGGGUCCGAGUUGUAAUUUGUAGAGGAUGCUUUGGGCGCGGUGCCUUCCGAGUUCCCUGGAACGGGACGCCUUAGAGGGUGAGAGCCCCGUACGGUUGGACACCAAGCCCGUGUAAAGCUCCUUCGACGAGUCGAGUAGUUUGGGAAUGCUGCUCUAAAUGGGAGGUAAAUUUCUUCUAAAGCUAAAUACCGGCCAGAGACCGAUAGCGCACAAGUAGAGUGAUCGAAAGAUGAAAAGUACUUUGAAAAGAGGGUUAAAUAGCACGUGAAAUUGUUGAAAGGGAAGCGUUUGUGACCAGACCUUCGCCGGGCGGAUCAUCGGGCGUUCUUCGCCCGUGCACUCCGCCCGCGCCUAGGCCAGCAUCGGUUCUCGCCGGGGGAGAAAGGCCGGGGAACGUAGCUCUCUCCGGGGAGUGUUAUAGCCCCGGGCGCAAUGCCCUGGCGGGGACCGAGGUUCGCGCGUUUACGCAAGGAUGCUGGCGUAAUGGUCAUCAACGACCCGUCUUGAAACACGGACC